CAGCCGCCACGGUAAUACGUAGGGGGCAAGCGUUAUCCGGAAUAACUGGGCGUAAAGGGUGCGCAGGUGGUUUAACAAGUUAGUGGUGAAAGGCAUAGGCUCAACCAAUGUAAGCCAUUAAAACUGUUUAACUUGAAUGCAGGAGAGGAAAGUGGAAUUCCUAGUGUAGCGGUGAAAUGCGUAGAUAUUAGGAGGAAUACCAGCGGCGAAGGCGACUUUCUGGACUGCAGCUGACACUGAGGCACGAAAGCGUGGGGAGCAAACAGGAUUAGAGACCCCUGUAGUCCCUGUCUCUUAUACA
rnacentral:rRNA from 1 species